AGUGAACGCUGGCGGCAUGCCUUACACAUGCAAGUCGAACGGCAGCACAGGAAGUUGCAGCUGGUGGCGAGUGGGGGACGGGUGAGUGAUACGUAGGAACCUGUCCUGUCGUUUUGGAUGGGGCUGCGGAAGGGGGAUUAAUACCGAAAACGAAUUACAGCUACAAGCGGAGGAACUGGAGCUUCGGAGCUUGAGCGAUUGACGAUGGCGGAUUAGCUAGUUGGAGGGGUAAAGGCCUACCAAGGCGACGAUCAGUAGCUGGUCUGAGAGGACGACCAGCCACACUGGGACUGAGACACGGCCCAGACUCCUACGGGAGGCAGCAGUGGGGAAUAUUGGACAAUGGGCGCAAGCCUGAUCCAGCAAUGCCGCGUGGGUGAAGAAGGCCUUCGGGUUGUAAAGCCCUUUUGUUGGGAAAGAAAAGCAUCACGCUAAUACGCUGGGGUUAUGACGGUACCGGAAGAAUAAGCACCGGCUAACUUCGUG
rnacentral:rRNA from 1 species